rnacentral:rRNA from 1 species
GACGAACGCUGGCGGCGUGCUUAACACAUGCAAGUCGAACGAUGAAGCUGGAGCUUGCUCCGGUGGAUUAGUGGCGAACGGGUGAGUAACACGUGAGCAAUCUGCCCUUGACUCUGGGAUAACUGCGGGAAACUGUAGCUAAUACCGGAUAUGAGGCUCGAAGGCAUCUUCGGGUCUGGAAAGAAUUUCGGUCAAGGAUGAGCUCGCGGCCUAUCAGCUUGUUGGUGAGGUGAUGGAUCACCAAGGCGACGACGGGUAGCCGGCCGGAGAGGGUGACCGGCCACACUGGGACUGAGACACGGCCCAGACGCAUACGGGAGGCAGCAGUGGGGAAUAUUGCACAAUGGGCGAAAGCCUGAUGCAGCAACGCCGCGUGAGGGAUGAAGGCCUUCGGGUUGUAAACCUCUUUUAGCAGGGAAGAAGCGAAAGUGACGGUACCUGCAGAAAAAGCACCGGCUAACUACGUGCCAGCCGCCGCGGUAA